rnacentral:rRNA from 1 species
CCUACGGGGGGCAGCAGUGGGGAAUAUUGGACAAUGGGGGCAACCCUGAUCCAGCAAUGCCGCGUGUGUGAAGAAGGCCUUCGGGUUGUAAAGCACUUUAGGCGGGGAAGAAGAUAAGCAGUUUAAGAGAUAGCUUAUUUGACGGUACCCGCAGAAUAAGCACCGGCUAACUCUGUGCCAGCAGCCGCGGUAAUACAGAGGGUGCAAGCGUUAAUCGGAAUUACUGGGCGUAAAGGGCGCGUAGGUGGUUGUAUAAGUGAGAUGUGAAAUCCCCG